UAGCUGCGUUACUCGACAACUCGAUCGCCUUCACGGUUGGCAAAAUAGCCACGGCCGAUGCGCUGCCAUCCGUGUCGACGACUCACCUGCUCGACGAUGGCGCGGAGGCGUUCAAGUAGGAGUGCUUGUACGACCUCCUUUAUAGAUGCGACCCACACAACCUCCUGCUUGCGCUCGUUGUUGUGCUGAUGAUGCGCGUGACCCAUCCGCAGCUGGCCGCGAUGGCUGAGCGGUGACUAAAGGCAAGUCAGCGGGCCGAUGUGCGCCGCAUGGACGUGGCCGUUGUGGACGACUGCUAUGGUACGGCGGCAUUCUGCUGUACCUCGCCUUCACGCUGCUGCUUGGUGACUUUGUGGCGGAUGUGAAGCACUACUGCUGCGAUGGGCAGAGGCACCGCAUGGCGAAGAAGAUCAUCCUGUUUGUGUCGCUGUGGGUGGGCAUGGGGCUGAUGGCGCUUGUGGGCAACUGGCUGUAGGCGCCGCUGAUCGUUGCCAUUUGUGGGUUGCGAGUUGGUCCGCGUGCGAGCGUGUGUAUGGGGCGCACGCGUAUCGUGGCGGCCGUCGUGUGCGGCGAAAGAGUGCACGUGCAAAGCCUCGU